GAAAUGCGAUACGUAGUGUGAAUUGCAGAAUUCCGUGAAUCAUCGAAUCUUUGAACGCAUAUUGCGCUCGAGGCUUCGGCCGAGAGCAUGUCUGCCUCAGCGUCGGGUUAAUAUCACUCCCCUUUUACCCCUCUGUGGUGUAAUCGGUUGGCGAGUGGACCUGGCUGUUCCAGCUGUUACAACAACCACAACCAGCCCGUAAUACGGCUUGGGGGUGGUUGCUGUAGCUCACCGCGGCUGGAUCGGCUGAAGUGUAGAGGAUAACCGUGGACCCGCUAAGGGCCGCAACUGGGUAGGCUUUCAUUAGCUAACCAUACUUUAGUUGUUGGUCUGGAUCCUAGCCGUUCAUCCCUCAACCAGGAACCUUAACCCGUACUUAUUUUCUCGACCUGAGCUCAGG
rnacentral:misc_RNA from 1 species